rnacentral:rRNA from 1 species
CCAGCGAUUAGUCGGUGUUAAUAUACGACCCGACGAGCAGCUUCCGGGAAACCAAAGUUUUUCGUUUCCGGGGGAAGUAUGGUUGCAAAGCUGAAACUUAAAGGAAUUGACGGAAGGGCACCACCAGGAGUGGAGCCUGCGGCUUAAUUUGACUCAACACGGGAAAACUCACCCGGCCCGGACACCGUAAGGAUUGACAGACUGAGAGCUCUUUCUUAAUUCGGUGGGUGGUGGUGCAUGGCCGUUCUUAGUUGGUGGAGCGAUUUGUCUGGUUAAUUCCGAUAACGAACGAGACUCUAGCCUGCUAAAUAGGCAGUGGAUUAUUCUUCCACUGUACUUCUUAAAGGGACAAGCAGCGUCUAGCUGCACGAGAUUGAACAAUAACAGGUCUGUGAUGCCCUUAAAUGUUCGGGGCUGCACGCGCGCUACACUGAAGGAAUCAACAUGCUUCUCAACCUUGGCCGGAAGGUCUAGGUAACCCGUUGAAACUCCUUCGUGAUUGGGAUAGGGAAUUGCAAUUAUUUCCCUUGAACGAGGAAUUCCCAGUAAGUGCGGGUCAUCAGCUCGCGCUGAUUACGUCCCUGCCCUUUGUACACACCGCCCGUCGCUACUACCGAUUGGAUGACUUAGUGAGGUCUUAGGACCGGGGUAAAGGUGCUUUCGCGAGUACUUUUGCUCUGGAAAUUUGAUCGAACUACGUUAU